rnacentral:rRNA from 1 species
CGUGUAGGCGGUCUAUCGAGUCAGGCGUGAAAGAUCCCGGCUUAACCGGGGAAACGCAUUGAGAACUACUGAGCUAGAGUCUAGGAGGGGAAGCUGGAAUUCCUGGUGUAGGGGUGAAAUCUGUAGAUAUCAGGAAGAACACCGGUGGCGAAGGCGAGCUUCUGGCCAUAGACUGACGCUGAGGCGCGAAAGCGUGGGGAGCAAACAGGAUUAGAUACCCUGGUAGUCC